rnacentral:rRNA from 1 species
CCUACGGGAGGCAGCAGUAAGGAAUAUUGGUCAAUGGGCGCAAGCCUGAACCAGCCAUGCCGCGUGAAGGAUGACGGCCCUAUGGGUUGUAAACUUCUUUUGUACGGGAAAAAACCACCGGUCGUGUAUCGGUGCUGAUGGUACCGUAAGAAUAAGCAUCGGCUAACUCCGUGCCAGCAGCCGCGGUAAUACGGAGGAUGCAAGCGUUAUCCGGAUUCAUUGGGUUUAAAGGGUGCGCAGGCGGAGUGUUAAGUCAGUGGUGAAAUCUCUCGGCUCAACCGAGAAACUGCCAUUGAUACUGACAUUCUUGAGUAUUGUUGAGGUAGGCGGAAUGUGUCAUGUAGCGGUGAAAUGCUUAGAUAUGACACAGAACACCGAUCGCGAAGGCAGCUUACCAAGCAAUAACUGACGCUCAUGCACGAAAGCGUGGGGAUCAAACAGGAUUAGAUACCCUGGUAGUCCACGCCGUAAACGAUGAUCACUCGAUGUUGGCGAUACACAGUCAGCGUCUUAGGGAAACUAUUAAGUGAUCCACCUGGGGAGUACGGUCGCAAGAUUGAAACUCAAAGGAAUUGACGG